UACGAAGGGUGCUAGCGUUGUUCGGAAUCACUGGGCGUAAAGGGCGCGUAGGCGGCUUUUCAAGUCAGGGGUGAAAUCCUGGAGCUUAACUCCAGAAUUGCCUUUGAAACUGGAAAGCUUGAGUAUUGGAGGGGAUAGCGGAAUUCCUAAUGUAGAGGUGAAAUUCGUAGAUAUUAGGAGGAACACCGGUGGCGAAGGCGGCUAUCUGGACAAUAACUGACGCUGAGGCGCGAAAGCGUGGGGAUCAAACAGG
rnacentral:rRNA from 1 species